CGGGGCGUAGCGCAGCCUGGUAGCGCAUCUGCCUGGGGGGCAGAGGGUCGUGAGUUCGAAUCUCGCCGUCCCGA
rnacentral:tRNA from 1 species